AAUGAACGUUGGCGGCGUGGAUUAGGCAUGCAAGUCGCGCGCGAAACGUAGCAAUACGUGGAGAGCGGCGUAAGGGAGAGUAAUGCAUGGUUAGCUACCCUCGGGACUGGGAUAGCGGCGGGAAACUGCCGGUAAUACCAGAUGACAUCUUCGGAUCAAACGUGUAAAUCGGCCCGAGGAGGCGACCGUGUCCUAUCAGCUAGUUGGCGGUGUAAUAGACCACCAAGGCUAAGACGGGUAUGGGGCGUGAGAGCGUGCCCCCACUCACUGGGACUGAGACACUGCCCAGACACCUACGGGUGGCUGCAGUCGAGAAUCUUCGGCAAUGGGCGCAAGCCUGACCGAGCGACGCCGCGUGCGGGAUGAAGGCCUUCGGGUUGUAAACCGCUGUCGUAGGGGAGGAAGGCUCCGUGCAGAACGGAGUUUGACCGAUCCUAGGAGGAAGGGCCGGCUAAUCUCGUGCCAGCCGCCGCAGUAACAC
rnacentral:rRNA from 1 species